rnacentral:rRNA from 1 species
GUACGUGAAACCGUUCAGGGGUAAACGGGAGAAAUCCUGAAUUCGAAGGGGAUUGGAUUCAAUUCUGCCCGGAUGCCUAGGCCACCUGGCCCCGCCAGAUGUCGCUGGUCGCCCACGGCGAUUCAUUUCGCUUGUGGUGUCGUUCCUGGCGGUCACUCGGUGGGGUGGUGCUGCUCUGACACCGGAGGAGUGCACUUCCUCCCUUGUAGAAACGUCGCGACCCGUUGGGUGCCGGUCUAAGGCCUGGGAUGGCAGACCAUGUGUCCUGUGCGGUCACGCACAGGCGCGUGGACUCCUGGUGACCCGGCCGGCUGCUCGACGGUAUGACCAGAGGAGUCGAUCCGCUGAAUGGGAAACACUAUGGUUGUGUAGCGUCCGGCCCGGCGCCGACACGUGCGGGGAAUGAGGUGUAAACCGGGGGUGUCCGUGCAGAAGCACGGCCCCGGCCCCGCUGCGUUGUUGGUUCUGUCGGUGUCCUCGGACUGGAUCAGUACUCCCGUCGGCGACGCCCACCUUCGGAUGG